rnacentral:lncRNA from 1 species
GGGGGGGGGGGGGGGGGGGGGGGGGGGGGGGGGGGGGGGGGGGGGGGGGGGGGGGGGGGGGGGGGGGGGGGGGGGGGGGGGGGUGGAAGUUCCCGAGUUCCAGCGCCGCAAGAAUGGGAAGCGAGCGAAGCCAAAAUGCCCCCGGGGAGCGCGGCCCCGCUGGGGAGGCCCGGCACUUCCACAGCCCCCGCUCGCCGCGGCUCCCCCGCAGCCCAGCCCGCUCCUUCGGAGCCAGCCAGGGACCUCGGGGCGCUGCCAGGGCCUUUGGCAUCUGCGCGAGCGAUGGCAAGAGGAGGAGUGUUGUCACCGCGAGGACGAGCGAUGGAUGGGGAUGCCUGCAACCCAUGGUUGAACUGGAGGUUGUAGAGUACCAGAGACAAGAAGUGUGAUCAGACCACAAAUGAUCCCUGCAUAUACGUGACACUGGUUGCAUUUUUUGUUUGCAUCCUUGUUUUUAACCUAAUACUAAUGUAAGAUGAAGACUGGCACACAUGACUCCCUUUUCCCAGGUGAGGCCCUACGACAAGAUUAAAAGAUUGUGAUCAUUCUAGAUGGCCUAAUCGGUAGUUUCCUCAUGCAGAGUGAAGCAGCUCUUUCUUAACAGAGAUUAAGAAGAGCCCUAUCUUGAGGAUAUUUUCCCAGGUGGCUAGCUCAGUCUGUUCUGAGGUACAAAAUAUUGAUUUGUUUUCCCUGUAAGAAUUUGAACUGAAGUGGGAUCCUCCUGCAUAUCAGAGUAAAUUAAAACUGCACAACCCCCUCUUUGGUCAGGACCUAGUCUGGUAAGCAUGCUCAGAAAAUGAUCCAUGAAUAGGGAGCACAAGCAAGACAAGCAAAGAUUGUGGAUCAUGAGCUAGCUGGAACAGGCAGUGUUGGGCAAAUUAAUAAGUUUUUUAGACACUCAGAGACUUUUACUGUUGGAAAAUUAAGUAUCUAUAUUUUGAAUAGUAAAAUAAUGGAAAGAUGUUACAGUUAGUGUCAUACACAUUCUCACCUCAUCACCGAUGGGUGUUCCUGCAAUAAGCUCUGGAGCACAAGCCUAGUGCUAGUUUCUUCACGUGUGAAUUUUUUUUUUAAUCCAGCUUCCAAGAUUGAAUAAAAAAGGAAUUGAACUUGAUAUUUCAGCAUCAAGUUUGACUACUACUAAUUGCCUCUUGGUAGGCCCUUAUGAAUAAAGCAUCAAAUAACACUGAAAGUCAAUCAGCUAACACAAAGAAACACAUCUUAUGAAUGCUAGAUUGAGCAGAUGAAGAAAUACAUAAGUCUUUAUUUUUAAUACAGUUGUUAUAAUAAAGCUAUGUCUAUUUAGUCCAUGUAUCUUUUUUUUUUUUUUUGUAUUUAUGUUUGAAAGCGCUUUCCUUCUUCACGUGUGAAUUUUUUUUUUAAUCCAGCUUCCAAGAUUGAAUAAAAAAGGAAUUGAACUUGAUAUUUCAGCAUCAAGUUUGACUACUACUAAUUGCCUCUUGGUAGGCCCUUAUGAAUAAAGCAUCAAAUAACACUGAAAGUCAAUCAGCUAACACAAAGAAACACAUCUUAUGAAUGCUAGAUUGAGCAGAUGAAGAAAUACAUAAGUCUUUAUUUUUAAUACAGUUGUUAUAAUAAAGCUAUGUCUAUUUAGUCCAUGUAUCUUUUUUUUUUUUUUGUAUAUAUGUUUGAAAGCGCUUUCCUCAGACCCUGCAUAGCAGUUUCUGGCUAUGUUACAACAUAGUGUUAACAACAGUCUCAGUUCAUCCCAGAUUUCACCACAUUAAUUGUACCUCUGAAUUGUGUUGUUCCCAAAUACUCCCAACCCUGAUUUUUCAGUUGAAAUUUUCAACAGCCAGCCUCCUUACAUUUUUCUCGUCCCUCAGGAGAGGUGUGUACCCCUUUCAGUUCAUUCACUGAUGGAUAAUUCUAAUAGCACAGGAUGCUGUAAGAGGACAGGUCAUGGCAUAUUUGCAGACAACAACAUUUCAAAUUCCAGUACACAGAAGGUAAGGCGUUCUUGCUGCUGUAUUCCUCAGUUUUGAAUUUUACCCAUACUAGUAAUCUGAAGAGCACUAUUGCCCACUCAAUUUCUGGCCAGUUGCUCAUGCCUGUGGCCAUAUCUGUAUUACUGGGCUUUUUCAACCUCCAAAACAGGACAGCUGCAUCUGCAUUGUCAGCUGGGCCUGAGCUACCCCCUGAGCCAUGCCAAGGGUGGCUUGGGAGAAUGCUGCUUGUCCUGGAUCUAGUGCAGGGACUCUGCUGUCAACAAUUUAGCAGUGCAAGCUGUGGGCUUCAAGUCUGCAGCUCUGUGCCCUGGCACCUUUUGGUUUGCUAGCAUAGACACAGCUUCUGCUACAAACAAAACUGAAACUGCCAUUGCGCUUUACUUCUGAAACUAUAGUAAGUUAUAGUAUGUAAAAAACAAUACAUUCCACAAUGUCCUUUGCUAGGAACUUCUAGAGGCAGAGAUAAAUCCUAGCUAGUUUGUAACAAACCCUAAGACAGCACAGUUCACUUUUGCUCAGCCUCCAAAUUACUUGAGUCUUUAUUCUGUCCACUGAAUAAUGAGAAAAUGCUGAAAUGCUUAAAGUUAUCAUAAAAGCUUCUCAGGGCCACACUAAAGAUCCUUGAAGGAAGAGUUGAUGUGGAAAAUAAACCAGAAAAUACAAAGUCUUAAGCUUGUGAGAAGUUGAAAGAAAACCAUGUAACAUUACAAGGAGGUAAAUUAACAUCUGUCAGAGAUUCACAGUAUGCCUCAAAUAUUGCUGCAUGUUUUGACUUUAUAACUACCUACAGUUUGUGGUAGUCAAGUGCUGGCUGCAAUUGCUCCCAAUAAACCUAUUUAAAGGUGCUUGAGAGAUAAAGGACAUCUUUCAUCUUAGAAUAUCUUGAGUUGGAAGGGACCCACAAGGAUCAUCAAAAUUCAGCUCCUGGCCCUGAAUAGGUCAGCCUCAAAUAUGACAUCAUGUGUCCAAGAGCAUUGUCCAAACAUUCCUUGAACUCUGUGAGACAUGGUGCUGUGAUCACUUCCCUGGGAAGCCCAUUCCAAUGCCCAGCCACCCUGUGUGAAAAACAUUUUCCUAAUAUCCAACCUAAACCUCCCCUGGCACAGCUUCAGGCCAUUCCCUCGGUCCUGUCAGUGUCACCCCAGAGCAGAGAUCAGUGCCUGCCCCUCCUCUUCCCCUCUCAGUGAAGCUGUAACUGCAGUGAGGUCUCCCCUCAGUCUCCUCCAGGCUGAACAGACCCAGUGCCCUCAGCUGCUCCUCACACGCUUCCCCUCAAGGCCCUUCCCCAUCCUUGUGCCCUCCUUUGGACACUCUCUAAUGGUUUAAUGUCUGUGUUCCAUUGCAGCACCCAGAGCUGCCCCAGCACUGGAGGUGAGGCUGCCCCAGCUCAGAGCAGAGCAGGACAAUCCCUCCCUUGCCCUGCUGGUGAUGCUGUGCUGGUGCCCCAGGACAGGGUUGGCCCUCCUGGCUGCCAGGGCACUGCUGGCUGAUAUCCAACUUGCCAUCAGCCAGGACCCUCAGGUCCCUCUACAGUGCUGCUUUCCAGCAUCUCAUUCCCAGUCUGCUUCUACAUUUGGGUUUGCCCCAUCCCAGGUACAGAUCCAGCACUUGCCUCUGUUAAACUUCAUACAGUUGGGUGAUUGCCCAGUCCUCUAAUUUGCCUAAGACUUUAUCAGACCUUACUGAGAACAGGAAGACUAGUGCAUGGAAAGCACUGAGAAGAAUCCUGUGUCUGGCCAUAAAGCUUCUUGCCACUGGCUUGUUAUCUGGUGAAAAUAUGAUUAUUGGGGGGAAGGUAGAACACCCCUUCUUGAAAGAGGCAAUGUACAACUGAGUUCAUUAUUCACAGUCCAACAAUAAUAUAAUCUCCUAAACAUACCAGAUGCACUGGUAUGGGAUAUAUGAUACCAAAUGCUUUGUCUAAUUGCUUCAUGAAUAAAGCAAUUCAGCCAGUAUUUUCCAUGCUUGGUAUAAAACAAGUCUAUUGUUAUAAGCCAUGAACUGGUCAUUGAAUUUUGUAAAAAUGCCAUAUUUGUGCUGCUAGCUUUUUUCUGUAUGUUACCUAAUGCGUUUUAAGAUCUAUAAACCUAGAACACCACCCCACCAUAAAGGAUGAAUCCAAUGCUAAUGCUGAAGCAUUCAUCAGAUGA